rnacentral:rRNA from 1 species
GACGAACGCUGGCGGCGUGCUUAACACAUGCAAGUCGAACGGAAAGGCCCUGCUUUUGUGGGGUGCUCGAGUGGCGAACGGGUGAGUAACACGUGAGUAACCUGCCCUUGACUUUGGGAUAACUUCAGGAAACUGGGGCUAAUACCGGAUAGGAGCUCCUGCUGCAUGGUGGGGGUUGGAAAGUUUCGGCGGUUGGGGAUGGACUCGCGGCUUAUCAGCUUGUUGGUGGGGUAGUGGCUUACCAAGGCUUUGACGGGUAGCCGGCCUGAGAGGGUGACCGGCCACAUUGGGACUGAGAUACGGACCAGACUCCUACGGGAGGCAGCAGUGGAGAAUAUUGCACAAUGGGCGGAAGCCUGAUGCAGCAACGCCGCGUGCGGGAUGACGGCCUUCGGGUUGUAAACCGCUUUCGCCUGUGACGAAGCGUGAGUGACGGUAAUGGGUAAAGAAGCACCGGCUAACUACGUG